rnacentral:rRNA from 1 species
ACGUAGGGGGCUAGCGUUAUCCGGAGUUACUGGCCGUACAGGGUGGGUAGGAGGUAUUUCAAGUCAGGAGUGAAAGGCUACGGAUAAACGGUAGUAAGCGCUUGAAACUGGGAGGCUGGGGUGCAGGGGAGGAGCGUGGAAUUCCUAGUGUAGCGGUGAAAUGCGUAGAUAGUAGGAGGAACACCAGUUGCGAAGGCGGCUCUCUGGACUGUAACUGACGCUGAGGCACGAAAGCGUGGGGAGCAAACAGGAUUAGAUACCCUGGUAGUCCACGCUGUAAACGAUGAGUACUAGGUGUCGGGGGUUACCCCCUUCGGUGCCGCAGCUAACGCAUUAAGUACUCCGCCUGGGAAGU